rnacentral:rRNA from 1 species
UGUCCAAUAUGCGGCCAUGAAAAUGGAACUUUGUUUCAUUCAUUGAUGGAGUGCGACCAUGCUCGACGCUUCUGGGAGGCGUCUGAGCGUUAUUUUGCUAUAGAUACACCGAUGCUCAAUCCACUUACAUGGACUUGCGAUAUACUUGACCAUAAUAUGAUCAAGAAGGAUGCGGCGGCAAUCAUGGUCACACUGAUGUGGGCGGUGUGGCAUUCAAGAAACAACCAUACACAUGGAGAGCAGGAGUAUCAACCCAUGCAAUCCAUCAUUACCAUUGAAGAGAUUGUCCGAGCUCUCGAAGUUCCAGCAAACGUCAAACCCCAGCCUAUCACCCAACCAAGAGGGCAGCCACGUGAUGUAGGGUGGGUGAAAAUCAACACAGAUGGAGCUACGGAUUCAGAGCAUGGCCAAGGAGGCGCGGGCUUCGUCGUCCGUGACCACCAUGGGUCUUUCGUGAGAGCUGGAUGCUCAUGA